GAUAUAAGUAUAAUUUUCAUUCAUUUAAGUAACUUCUGCUACAUUCAAUGAGCUAUAAUCCAGUGUAGACUUUUUUCUUCCUUCAAUCUGUUCCACAAGGAAUUCUUCAGCUUCUUAUAAGGGAUGAACUCCAGCAAAAUAGGAACUGCAUGAACAACCACAGUCAUUUGCCACAGGGACCAGCAAAGACUAAGAGCAUGAGAAAAAAGGAGCAACUUCUACAUAGCUGUGAAAAAGUACCUGGGCUGCCAGAAAAGGGAAUUGCUCUGUUAUUGGACACAGAUUGCUGUCACAUGUGCAGGAGGUUCAAGGAAGCUGGGUUGAAUGAGGCAGGAGCAUUCUUCAGAGUCAGAGAAGACCCUUGUUCUGCACUGAGAUCAAAUGUUUAACAUCCUGUCUGCUACUAUCUGUAGCCUACCCUCAGCUUUGUUUCUCUCACCCAAAGAUCCAGGGAGAAGUCAGUAAUUGUGUAAGGCUGGAGAUGCCAUGUGGUAUGCAAGGGAGUGGGAAAAAAAGCAAACCUUUGGCUUACAGGCCACAGAGUUGACAUAGACUGAGGUUGUGGACCAGCCACAAUUGUCUUGGGACUGCUGUUCUCUUCUGCUGGCACGUCAUCUGCCUGCAACAAUAUGCUGACUGAGCUUGCUUGUCUGUUGUAGCACUUAUCCUACCACUCCUUUACCCUGUAGAGAAUUUCUGUAUUUCAGUUGUAGAUCAUAGCAGCUGGUCUUUUUCUGUUCCUCUUAAGGCAGGAACAGAAGCAAGAGAUUUUCUUGUGAGCACAGAUACCAUCCUAGGAUGGGGGAAUGGGCUCCUCAGAUUUCUUUUUGCUUUUACCAACCUGUGAAUCUUUCUUUCAUAUUCGUGAAGUCCAUGUCAGCACUUCAAGCUUUGGUUGUGGUAUGAUAGCACAGAAGAGUGUCACACAGACAGCCCGCCUCUCUGCAGAAUCUGACUACACAAUGCGUGUUGCAGUGCUGUGGGUAGUACCCCACAUAUCCUAGUAGCCUGCAGAAGGUAGAAGUAAUAUGUAUUCCUAGAAAAGAGAGUAAGGAGAAGUUAGAGAUGAACGUGUUUUAUUCAGUGAACUCUCUGCAAACACAGACUUCAGAAGAAGCUUCCUUUGAGAAGGGUUCCAAAGUGCUUGUGGAACUGGCAUGUGCAGAUAGCAACCAAGAUGCCUAUGGGUAAAAAUGUGUAUCAAAAUAAAAAUAAAAAGAACAGCUUAGAAUUAAACUUUGGCUUCUCUUUCUGUGCUUACUCAGGAAACGAUAUAGACUAGCAGCAAAAUGUUCUCAGCAUCAGCAAAAACUCUAGUGCUGUCCAAAAGAUCUGACAUGCGUUAAACUUCUGCAGAUGCAAACUGAAGUCAUGUCAGAUGUGAUCACUGAAGGAACUGUGUGCCCUGAAAUUUCACAAGAAGACAUUCCCCGCAGCUCUCUGAAUGCCCAUUGGGACACAAGGUUCUACUUACAGUCUAAAAUAUGGGGAGGAGGAGUCGUAAGCAUUCUUCUUUCAAAAAUGUUGCUUAUUCCAACACUUGAGACUGAAUUUGCAUUAAAGGCAUACUUGGAAGAGGAGCAAAAGGUGGCUGCAGUGUUGUUGAUAGAUGUUGGAAUAGAUAAAUCACGGCCCUUUCUGCAAUAAGUACCUGUUCUUCUGAGAGAUUCAUAAACAAGAAGGUAGCUUGAUCAAAAAAAAUAUUUUAAAAUAAAUAGACAGAGUUC